UCUUUGGCUGUCCGAGUUGUAAUCUAGAGAAGCAUUAUCCGCGUUGGACUGUGUACAAGUCUCCUGGAAUGGAGCCUCAUAGAGGGUGAGAAUCCCGUCUUCGACACAGACUGCCAGGGCUUUUGUGAUAUGCUCUCAAAGAGUCGAGUUGUUUGGGAAUGCAGCUCAAAAUGGGUGGUAAAUUCCAUCUAAAGCUAAAUAUUGGCGAGAGACCGAUAGCGAACAAGUACCGUGAGGGAAAGGUGAAAAGAACUUUGGAAAGAGAGUUAAACAGUACGUGAAAUUGCUGAAAGGGAAACGCUUGAAGUCAGUCAUGUUGGCCAGGGAUCAACCUUGCUAUUUUGCUUGGCUUACUUUCUGGUCAAUGGGUCAGCAUCAAUUUUGGCUGGUGGAAAAAGUUCAAGGGAAUGUGGCAUCCUUGGAUGUGUUAUAGCCUUUGUUCGCAUACAUCAGUUGAGAUUGAGGAAUGCAGCACGCCGAAAGGUCGGGUUUUUAACCACGUUCGUGCUUAGGAUGCUGGCAUAAUGGCUUUAAUCGACCCGUCUUGAAACACGGACCAAGGAGUCUAACAUGCCUGCA
rnacentral:rRNA from 1 species